rnacentral:piRNA from 1 species
ACUGCUGCCGGCAAAUUCUGAAU